GCACAAGUGCUCUCACCAGGCUGCGCGCUGGCGGGUCGGUGCACAGGGACGGGGUCGCCGCCCACGCGCGCUUGGUUCAGGGAGCCCAGGCUGUCCCUACCCGCGGCUACAAAAGCUCGCCGAGUCUUCCUGUCCACCCAAUCGCCCCACAUGUCAGCGGUUGGUCGCCUCGCGGUGCAGUGCUGGGCACGCGAGCCCCUCCCGCAGUCAUUCUCAGCACAAGCACCAGCCUGGAGCCCCGCAGCGACAGAGCUGAGAGCCCCCAAGCCGCAGAGGUCGUGCGGAGCAGGCCUAAGGCAAUAGCUAAUUGAGACUAUGCAUCACUAUUAAGGCAUCUUCACUAAAGGGCGCUGUGGAAACGCUGCCUGAGAUGCAGACACCUGUCAGAAGGGGGCUAAAUUUCAAACAAGGAACGUGGUGUUGCAUCACAAUAAAUAGAUACGGGGUUUCACCGUGUUAGCCAGGAUGGUCUCGAUCUCCUGACUUCAUGAUUCACAUGCCUCGGCCUCCCAAAGUGCUGGGAUUACAAACAGAAGAAACACACGUGUUCUUGUGUGUAAACCCAGUCCAUGGAAGAGACCGUCUGCUUGUCCCUCCUGAUCUCUGGGCCCAGACAACCAGUAGUCACCAUUCCAAGUGAGGGGUGGCUGCAACUCUACAGCCCCGUUCGUCUCUCCUCACUGUCAAAGCUGCUGAGACCCCAGACUCGACACUUGAAAGAAACCCAUGUCUGUGAAGCACUUGUGGACCAUUCAAGAUUGUGGAAGAAUCACUCAAGAGAAGGAGAUAGGUGAUGGGAUCUAGCUUCUGAUGGUUUCUAUUUUAUUGAAUGUCUAAUAGGGCAAGAAUUUGAAAAACGAGAAUGUUUGCCAUGCAGGAGGACCUGGGAAGGAGAUAACACAUUUACAGGGAGAAAGAUUGGGAUUCAGUUGGGAGGAGUAACUGAGGAAAGGGGUCACUCAAAAUAUUUUGUAUUUUAGGUCCUUUUUCUAUUAAGGAGGAAUGGAUUAUCAAAGCCUUAACAUUAAAUUGUAUUGUGUCAGGUGAAUUGCUAUGGUUUGAAUGUGGUGUGUCCCCCUCCCAAACUCACAUUGAAUUUUUUUUUUUUUUUUUGAGACGGAGUCUCGCUCUGUUGCCCAGGCUGGAGUGCAGUGGUGCGAUCUUGGCUCACUACAAGCUCUGCCUCCCGGGUUCAAGAGAUUCUCCUGCCUCAGCCUCCCGAGUAGCUGGGAUUACAGAUGUUCGUCACCACACCUGGCUAAUUUUUGUAUUUUUAAUAGAGAUGGGGUUUCACUAUGUUGGCUAGGCUGGUCUCAAACUCCCGACAUCAGGUGAUCCACCCACCUCGGCCUCCCAAAGUGCUGGGAUUAGAGGAGUGAGCCACUGCACCCAGCCUCACGUUGAGGUUUAAUUGCCAUUGUAACAGUAUAAAGAUGUGGGACCUUUACGAGGUGAUUAGGCAAUGAGGACUCUGCCCUCAUGAAUGGAUUAAUGCUGUUAUCAUGGGAGUGGAUUCCUUAUAAAGGGACACGUUCAGCACCCCCUUGCUCUCUCUCUCACCUUCCGCCAUAUGAUGAUGGGGCACAAAGGCCAUCAUCAGAUGUUGGCCCCUUGUUCUCGAACUUCCCAACCUCCAGAGCAGUAAAAAAAUAAAUCACUGUUCUUUAC
rnacentral:lncRNA from 1 species